ACCUGGGUGGCUCAGUUGGUUGAGCAUCUGACUUUGGCUCGGGUCAUGAUCUCAUGGUUCGUGGGUUCGAGCCCCACAUCGGGCU
rnacentral:tRNA from 1 species